UGUCUCUCUCUGCCUUCUUUGAUCUCCAUUCCUUGAACCAGUAAAUUCCAUGCUAUACAUCUCUCUAGCUCUGCUUCUCCUUCCGGUGAUCGUAAGAUAAGUCCAUUUUAUUCACUUCCUCAAUCUCUCCUCGCUUCUCGUUUCUUGCAAUUUUCUUUAAUUUUUUUUCUUAUGAUUAAUUCAUGAUUAUUUUAGGUUAUUGUAAAAUUAUCAGAUUGGAUUCAAAUUCUUUGGAUGUUUAUAACUAUUAAAUUUCAAAUCCAGAUUAAUUAUAAAUUACAUUUUUU
rnacentral:misc_RNA from 1 species